AAUCUCAUAGCUCAACAGGUUAGAGCACCGGUCUUUUAAACCGGGGGUUGAAGGUUCAAGUCCUUCUGGGAUUACAA
rnacentral:tRNA from 1 species